CAAGUUUUGUUAUAAAUGUUAAUAAAAAUUAUUUCAAAGUAAUCGUUUGAAAAAAAACUUGUGUCCUAUGGAUAUUAUCUGUGAAAAAAGUGAUGUCCCAACAAAAGCGAUUCCGGAAAAAAGUAUCUGUCCUACUGCACUUUGCACCGGUCCUAUGUGUAGAUAAAUUUUGACCGGUCCCUUAAGCAAUAGUCUUAUUUUUUUACUUUGUUAGUCCUCUUUUUAACAAUAUUCUUUAUUUGUUUUACUUUGUGUGUACUUUAUUUAACAAUAUUCUUUUUUUAAUUUCUUGUCUUAUUUAGUUCAAUAAAAAAAUCCACACAGACCCUCACCUAUGACCUCUGAUGUCUGUUAGUGUCCUUGGUAUUUUAUUGAUAUGACUUCCUAAAAUGGCUUAAUAUUUCCAUAAUUUGUCUCCUACCCACCCC
rnacentral:lncRNA from 1 species